GUUUCAUUCAUUUUAAAAGAGGGAGCAUUAAGAUGGUGGAACAAUUGGGCUUGCCCUGAAGGUUGGGCUCGGAGUGCUAUCUUCUGGCCUACCCGUUCCAAGUGGUGAGUUGUGCCGUGGAUUCUCUGCGAAGGCGGAGGCUUCUCGGUCCUUAGAUUGGAGAGCACCGCGUGAGGCUGGCUUCACAGAGCAGCAAUAACCUCCUCCUCUCUGCAGUGGAAGGAUAACAUGCUGGUGCAUUCUCGGUCCAUUUAGCGCCUGUUGGGCUGCCCAAAUUGAACCAUCAUCUUU
rnacentral:SRP_RNA from 1 species